rnacentral:rRNA from 1 species
UACGUAGGGUCCAAGCGUUAUCCGGAAUCACUGGGCGUAAAGCGUGCGUAGGUGGCGCGUUAAGUGAGAUGUUAAAUCGUGUGGCUCAACCAUAUCGAUGCAUCUCAUACUGGCGUGCUAGAGGACAGCAGAGGCAAGUGGAAUUUGUAGUGUAGCAGUGAAAUGCGUAGAUAUCAGGAGGAACACCGAUGGCGAAGGCAGGUCUCUGGGCCAUAACUGACGCUGAGAAGCGAAAGCAUGGGGAGCGAACAGG